UACGUAGGGGGCAAGCGUUGUCCGGAUUUAUUGGGCGUAAAGAGCGUGUAGGCGGUUUGGUAGGUCCGUUGUGAAAACUCGAGGCUCAACCUCGAGACGCCGAUGGAAACCAUCAGACUAGAGUCCGGAAGAGGAGAGUGGAAUUCCUGGUGUAGCGGUGAAAUGCGCAGAUAUUAGGAAGAACACCAGUGGCGAAGGCGGCUCACUGGUCCGGUACUGACGCUGAGGUGCGAAAGCGUGGGGAGCAAACAGGG
rnacentral:rRNA from 1 species